CCUACGGGCGGCAGCAGUGAGGAAUAUUGGUCAAUGGCCGGAAGGCUGAACCAGCCAAGCCGCGUGAAGGACGAAGGUGCCAAGCAUUGUAAACUUCUUUUGUCAAGGGACAACAUCAGGCUCGAGAGCCUGACCGAGGGUCCUUGAAGAAAAAGCAUCGGCUAACUCCGUGCCAGCAGCCGCGGUAAUACGGGGGAUGCGACGGUUAUCCGGAUUUAUUGGGUUUAAAGGGUGCGUAGGCGGGCUGUUAAGUCAGCGGUAAAACCCCGGGGCUCAACCCCGGCGAGCCGUUGAAACUGGCUGUCUUGAGAUGUGGAGAGGUAGGCGGAAUGCGCAGUGUAGCGGAGAAAUGCGUAGAUAUUGCGAAGAACUCCGGUGGCGAAGGCAGCAUACCGGCGGCGAUCUGACGCUGAGGCACGAAAGCGUGGGUAUCGAACAGGAUUAGAUACCCGUGUAGUC
rnacentral:rRNA from 1 species